rnacentral:rRNA from 1 species
GAUGAAUGCUGGCGGCGUGCCUAACACAUGCAAGUCGAGCGGUAACAGGAGUAGUUUACUACUUGCUGACGAGCGGCGGACGGCUGAGUAACGCGUGGGAACGCGCCCCAAAGUGAGGGAUAACUGCCCGAAAGGGUGGCUAAUACCGCAUAUGGUCUUCGGAUUAAAGGAUUUAUCCGCUUUGGGAGCGGCCCGCGUUAGAUUAGGUAGUUGGUAGGGUAAUGGCCUACCAAGCCUACGAUCUAUAGCUGGUCUGAGAGGAUGACCAGCCAGACUGGAACUGAGACACGGUCCAGACUCCUACGGGAGGCAGCAGUGAGGAAUCUUCCACAAUGGGCGAAAGCCUGAUGGAGCAACGCCGCGUGAAGGAUGAAGGCCCUCGGGUUGUAGACUUCUUUUAUAAGUGAAGAAUAUGACGGUAACUUAUGAAUAAGCACCGGCUAACUACGUGCCAGCAGCCGCCGUAA